CAGGCCGCAUGCGCAAGUGCACCGCGCCGGUUAAAAGCGGAUCUCCUCGGGAGGCGGUGCCACGGUUCAUGAAUAUUGAUUACGCACCGGGGCGCUGUGCGCCCGCCCCACUAAUCUGCCGUCGUUCGCUGCUCGCGCUCCGGCUCAUGAUGGGGAAGAAGUCCCGGGCGGUACCCGGCCGCAGGCCUAUCCUGCAGCUCUCUCCACCGGGUCCUCGGAGCAGCACCCCGGGCCGGGAUCCCGACCCCGAUCCGGAUCCCGAGGCAGAUUCGACUGCGGCGGCGACAAGCCAGUCAGCGCCGGCAGCAGCGACGGCGGCGGCCGCGACGUCGCCCGCGGUGCCUGCCUCCGCUGCCCCAGAGGACUCGCCUUCAGAAGAUGAACAAGAAGUGGUGGUGGAGGUCCCCAACGUUGUUCAGAACCCUCCAACACCAGUCAUGACCACCAGACCGACAGCCGUCAAGGCAACAGGAGGUCUGUGCUUACUUGGUGCUUAUGCUGACAGCGAUGACGAUGAGAGUGAUGUGUCUGAGAAAACAGCCCAAUCCAAAGAGGCCAACGGAAACCAGGCCACUGACAUUGACAGCACACUGGCCAACUUCCUAGCGGAGAUAGACGCCAUAACAGCACCUCAGCCUGCAGCUCCUGUGGUAGCUUCUGCUCCACCUCCAACUCCACCUCGACCAGAACCAAAAGAAGCGGCAACACCUGCCCUUUCUCCCACCGCAUCAAAUGGAUCAGACACUGCCCAGACGCCAGGGUGGCAUUAUGACACUCAGUGUUCAUUGGCAGGAGUUGAAAUUGAGAUGGGAGAUUGGCAAGAAGUCUGGGAUGAGAACACAGGUUGCUAUUAUUAUUGGAACACACAAACAAAUGAAGUGACUUGGGAGUUACCCCAAUACCUUGCUACACAGGUUCAGGGAUUACAACAUUACCAGCCCAGUUCUGUAACAGGUACCGAGGCUGCUUUUGUGGUAAAUACAGACAUGUAUACAAAGGAGAGGACAACUGCUGCUUCCAGUAGUAAAAGUGGACCAGUCAUCACCAAACGAGAAGUUAAAAAGGAAGUGAAUGAAGGAAUCCAAGCCCUUUCCAACAGUGAGGAGGAGAGGAAAGGGGUAGCAGCUGCAUUGCUCGCUCCUUUACUGCCUGAAGGGGUAAAAGAGGAGGAAGAAAGAUGGAGAAGAAAAGUAAUUUGUAAAGAAGCAGAUCCGGUGUCAGAGACUAAGGAAACAAGCACAGCUUCGGAGGAGACGGGCCCGAGUAUAAAGCCACCGGAAGUGAUGAUGGACGGCACAGAAGACCCUUCUCAGGAGGAGCUCUGCAGUGUCGUUCAAUCUGGAGAAAGUGAGGAGGAGGAGGAAGAGGAGGAGCAAGACACCCUUGAGCUGGAGCUAGCUUUGGAAAGGAAAAAGGCAGAGUUACGAGCCUUGGAGGAAGGAGAUGGUAGUGUGUCAGGGUCUAGUCCACGUUCUGACAUCAGCCAGCCAGCAUCUCAGGACGGAGUGCGUAGGAUUAUGUCUAAAAGAGGAAAAUGGAAGAUGUUUGUUCGAGCCACCAGUCCAGAAUCCACCAGCCGAAGUUCUAGUAAAACUGGACGAGAUUCUCCAGAAAAUGGAGAAACUGCAAUUGGUGCUGAAGAUUCCGAAAAAAUAGAUGAAAUUUCAGACAAAGAAACGGAAGUAGAAGAGUCUUCUGAGAAGAUCAAAGUCCAGCUAGCACCUAAAGUGGAGGAAGAGCAGGACCUGAAAUUUCAGAUUGGAGAACUGGCAAAUACCCUGACAAGUAAAUUUGAAUUCCUAGGGAUUAAUAGGCAGUCCAUCUCCAACUUUCACAUGCUGCUCUUACAGACUGAGACUCGAAUUGCAGACUGGCGGGAAGGGGCUCUCAAUGGAAAUUACCUAAAACGAAAGCUUCAGGAUGCUGCAGAACAGCUAAAACAGUAUGAAAUAAACGCCACUCCUAAAGGCUGGUCCUGCCACUGGGACAGGGAUCAUAGACGAUAUUUCUAUGUAAACGAACAGUCGGGCGAGUCUCAAUGGGAAUUCCCAGAUGGUGAGGAGGAGGAAGAAAGCCAAACAAAGGAAGUUAGAGAUGAGAGUCUGCCUAAGCUGACCGUGAAGGACAAAACCUGCACUGAUCCAAACUCUACAGAAUCCUCUGAGAACCCGACAGGGAGAAAAUUCCCUCAACAUUCCUGGGAUAUAUAUCUAAUAGCCCCAUAUAUUGUGAAACCUCCCUAUUGACGAUAAAGAGGGAUGGGGAAGGCUGCAAGUAAGUAUAUCCUCCUGUUUUCUCUGAUCUUUGCAAAGCUUUACCCAGCAGUGAAACUUCGGUCUUCAGUAAUAGUGUUUGUGAAAUUUGAGAAAAUUUAAUACAGUUUUUCAAGCUAAAGUGGUAGCAAUUUCAAAUCUUCUACAUCUCUGAACACUUGAAAAUCUCAAUUAUCAUUUACUUUGACAUUUUGCUCUAUAAAUUUCCUUUCAUUCAUCACAAAAAUAUAAAUUUCCUUCCCUUUCUGUUGCUAUGAUUAAGCAAAUGUAAUACACACAUAUGAAAGAAUGGGAGUUCACAGUUGCAUCCUGCAAAUGAAUUUUUAAAACUAGUAAUCCAGGUUAACCAAAAUAGGUGGAAUUUUUGUGAAAUUUGUUGUUUUGAAUGAGUUUUCACUGUGGCAUCCCACUUAACUAACCUCCUGAGAAACAACAGUAAAAAUAAAACGAAAUGAGAUUACAGAUGUACAAUUUACUUAUUUCAUUUUUGAAACAAAAAAAGAUUCUCCAGAGAAUUGUUGCCAUCUUAUAUGCUAAAAUACAUGUUUGAAAAAAAUAUUCAAGGGGCUGAACUUGCUAAGAGCACAUACUACUUUGGCAGAGAAUCAUUCACAUGAGGCAGCUCACACCUGCCUGUUAACUCCAGCCCCACAGGGAUCCAACGAGUUAAUGCCCUCUUCUGGUCUUUAAGGGCACCUGCACACACAGGCACAUACCUCACCACACACAACACACAAAUAAGAUCAAUUUACAGAUUUGGAUGACUGAGUUUCUCAUAAUUUUUAUUUAUUUUUAUUUAUAAAUCUGGACCUAAAGAAUACAGCUAGUAUUUCAGCAUCAACCUUUCCCUAGAGUAAUUUCUGAGUUGAAUUGCCCAGUAUUUCGGUGACAUCGGUGCCUUGCUGAGUCAAAUUUUGAUUAUGGGAGAGCUAGCUAGUUUUCCUAGGUUGGUACAGAUGUCUGUACUACUGGUCAGAUGAACUUUCGCAUGAAUAUUAGCUUUGAAGGAUUUGUCUUGAGGUUUUUUUUUUCCUCCUGACUACUGUCUGUUUUCCAGGUUCUCUUUGUAAAGAAUCAUUUUCUGGUCAAGUUUCUUCAUCACUCAUGCCACUUACUCCAUUCUGGACCCUCCUCCAAUCAAAUGUACCUGUGCUUCAACCUCCAUUACCUCUGGAAAUGCCGCCACCUCCACCUCCACCCCCGGAGUCUCCACCUCCACCUCCUCCACCUCCUCCUCCACCCCCACCAUUAGAAGAUGGUGAGAUUCAGGAGGUAGAAAUGGAGGACGAGGGAAGUGAGGAGCCUCCUGCCCCCGGAACAGAGGAGGACACUCCUUUGAAACCUUCAACACAGACCACAGCUGUAACCAGCCAGAGUCUAGUUGAUUCUACUGCCUCUAGUCCUCCAUCCAAUAAAGCAGUAAAGAGGAAGGCUCCAGAAAUGAGUACUUCGGUAGUUCAGAGAUCAGCCACUAUUGGUAGUUCUCCAGUUCUCUAUAGCCAGUCAGCUAUAGCUGCAGGUCACCAAGCUGUUGGGAUGGCACACCAGGCUGUUGGGAUGGCACACCAAGCAGUAUCUGCUAGCCAUGCAGCAGCAGCAGGAGUGGGUCAUCAGGCCCGAGGGAUGAGCCUGCAGUCAAAUUACCUCGGCCUAGCAGCAGCACCUGCGCUGAUGAGUUAUGCUGAAUGUUCUGUCCCAAUUGGAGUGACUACUCCAUCGCUGCAGCCAGCUCAGGCUCGAGGAACUAUGGCAGCACCUGCUGUUGUAGAACCACCUCCACCUCCACCUCCUCCCCCUACACCUACACCACCACCGCCACCACCAGCUCCCAAAGUGCCACCGCCCGAGAAGACGAGAAAAGGGAAGAAAGAUAAGGCAAAGAAAAGUAAAACUAAAAUGCCAUCCUUGGUAAAGAAAUGGCAGAGUAUCCAGCGGGAGUUAGAUGAAGAAGAUAAUUCAAGUUCCAGUGAAGAAGACCGGGAAUCGACUGCACAGAAGCGGAUUGAGGAAUGGAAACAGCAGCAGCUGGUGAGUGGCCUGGCAGAAAGAAAUGCUAAUUUUGAAGCCCUUCCUGAGGAUUGGCGAGCAAGACUGAAGAGAAGGAAAAUGGCUCCCAGCACAUAGUUUUCAUUUUGUUUUAUGUUCAGUCUUAACCAGAUUUAAACUGUUGUCAAAUGAACUGUAAAAUGUUAUGAGGAAGAACAUAUACAUUUCCUGGGCAAGGAUGCGUGCAUACAAAGUUGUCCAUUUAUGAAGUGUAGUUUUUCUGUUUGCUGAAUGAGGAAUUGCUUUGACCUGGCUGUCUUUAUUCUCACACUGGCAAACUUAGCAUGUUAGAUAGGAGUCAGACAUGUGAGUCAUGGGCACGAAAUCUCUGUAUAGGACUUGCUGGCAAAAGUGAAGGGCUUUCCUGCCCAGUAGAGGCUUGUUUAGUUCUAGUGUGGCACUCUCCCUCCCUUCUCCUCCAAACAAGUGCAAUUAAGGCAGCUCUGUAUCCUCCCUUGCUUGACCAUCAGGAUCUCUAUCUGACCUCCUCAAAGUCUGCUCGCCUGAAGUGUUGAUCUGUGCUGAUGGCCACACACACCCUAGAAUGCUCGCUUUGCAGCACAGGCAGGAGCAGCAGCAAGCAGCAGGUGUUUAGAUCCUUGGUUUUGAGAAAUUCCCCCCUAAGUAUGUGGCAAUAAGUAUAAGCCACUUUGUGUAUUGUCUUCAUUGUCUUACCCACUUCAGAAAUACCCCUUCCUUCUAUGUGUGGACAUGUUCUCCAUAAGAUUCCAGUAUUUAAGACACGUUCACUGUUGUGUACUUUCUGUUGUAUCACAAUCAGGAAAGGUCACUUUAAACUGAAGGGAAAAGCAAAUUGUGUCUUAAAGCUGUUUGUAUUUCUCCAGUUUCUGACAUUGUAAAUUUGUAUAUAUACACCAAUAAAGCUCUUUUUAUACUUCUCAUUGGUUAUCCUUUUGCUCUUCUAAGCAUGUUACCCUACAUAACUAGGACUUAGUGUGUGCCCAUUCUUAGUUGUUCCAAUCAGACUUAGUGCAGAACAUGCACUGACAUUUGAACAUCGGGAAAGUGAUGGCUUGGGGAUAUAGGAAGACAGGGUUUUAAGAAACAUACACAGUUUCCGAUAAGAUGGUGCCAUUUUCUGGAGCUUGUACCCUGUUAAUAAUAUACCUGAUAUUUGACCUACUUAAGUCCUAGAAACAAUGUAAUAUGGGGGAGAAAGGUGCUUUAUAGCUUUUUAUUAAGUAAUACAAAGCUGAUUAUGGAAAGUAAUAGAUAUUUAAGAUUAUAAUCACAAUAGUUAACCAAAGAUAAUAGUUUGAAUUUUAUUCUAGUAUAUUCCUAUGCAGUUCAAUUUUUUUUACUUGUAUUACAGUGUAUUAGAUUUUAUUUAUCAUGCGCUGUUGGGAUGCCCAUUUUGUACAUAAAAUUGUUUUGUAAUUUGCAUAGAGUAAAUUUCUACAAAUAAAGAUUAUCAAAUAGCUGUUAAA